rnacentral:rRNA from 1 species
UGGGGAAUAUUGCACAAUGGAGGGAACUCUGAUGCAGCGACGCCGCGUGAACGAAGAAGGCUUUCGUGUUGUAAAGUUCUUUUAUAUGGGAAGAUAAUGACGGUACCAUAAGAAAAAGCCCCGGCUAACUACGUGCCAGCAGCCGCGGUAAUACGUAGGGGGCUAGCGUUGUCCGGAAUCACUGGGCGUAAAGGGUUCGCAGGCGGAAAUGCAAGUCAGGUGUAAAAGGCAGUAGCUUAACUACUGUAAGCAUUUGAAACUGCAUAUCUUGAGAAGAGUAGAGGUGAGUGGAAUUUUUAGUGUAGCGGUGAAAUGCGUAGAUAUUAAAAAGAAUACCGGUGGCGAAGGCGACUUACUGGGCUCAUUCUGACGCUGAGGAACGAAAGCGUGGGUAGCAAACAGG